rnacentral:tRNA from 1 species
UGGCUCAGUGAUUAAGAGCACUGGCUGCUCUACCAGAGGAUCUGGGUUCGAUUCCCAG